AUACGGAGUGUGCAAGCGUUGUUCGGAAUUACUGGGCUUAAAGAGCACGUAGGCGGACGUGUAAGUUAAGGGUGAAAUCCCUCGGCUCAACCGAGGAACUGCCUUUAAUACUGCAUGUCUCGAGGACAGGAGGGGAGAGUGGAAUUCCCGGUGUAGAGGUGAAAUUCGUAGAUAUCGGGAGGAACACCAGUGGCGAAGGCGGCCUUCUGGACGAUGACUGACGCUGAGGUGCGAAAGCGUGGGGAGCAAACAGGAUUAGAAACCCGUGUAGUCC
rnacentral:rRNA from 1 species